UCUUAUUUUAUUUUUAAAUGCAGAUUUCAAAGCGCAACAUGACGAGUACAUCAGGAAGCAACAGGUCUUCGACCCGUUUCAGUACGGAGCAAGGACAGGGACAUAAGUCUACAACUAUUUAUUUCCAAAUUUGUAAG